CCGGAGGGAAAGAAAGAGCGGUCAGAGUAAUUACAGGGAGAACAUUUCCAGGUGUGGUGUCAGCACAGCGGCAGGUCACCGUUCAGGAAGGACCCUUGUACCGCACGGAGGGCUCCCACAUCACUAUCUGGUGCAAUGUGAGUGGCUACCAGGGACCUUCUGAACAGAAUUUCCAGUGGUCCAUUUACCUGCCUUCGUCGCCAGAGCGAGAGGUGCAGAUCGUCAGCACCAUGGACUCUUCCUUCCCCUAUGCCAUCUACACCCAGCGCGUCCGCGGAGGGAAGAUCUUCAUAGAAAGAGUCCAGGGGAACCCAACCCUAUUGCACAUCACAGAUCUUCAGGCCCGGGAUGCCGGGGAAUAUGAAUGCCACACACCCAGCACCGAGAAGCAAUACUUUGGGAGUUAACAGUGCAAAGAUGAACCUAGUGGCAGCAAGGCAAGUGAGGUGCUGCCGUCAUCCAGGCUGGACAGUUCAGUGAUUUGCCUGAGGCCCCACAGCAGAGUUCAACUGGAGACAGAGAAACCAGCUAGAGGCAGAGGGAGGUAACACGGAGUCCCCCAGAAAGGUCUGGGCUGUGCGUGCUUCAGCUGUUUCCACCAAAUCCUCCUGUCUUUCGUGGCCAACACCCCAGGCAAGGCUUGGGGCCCCCGUCUGCUGCUGGACGAGCCAUGAAGAAGAAGUUAGUGGUGCUGGGCCUGCUGGCCGUGGUCCUGGUGCUGGUCAUUGUCGGCCUCUGUCUCUGGCUGCCCUCGGCCUCCAAGGAACCUGACAACCAUGUGUACACCAGGGCUGCCGUGGCCGCGGAUGCCAAGCAGUGCUUGGAGAUUGGGAGGAGGGCUGUCGGUGGCGGUGCCUGGGGAGAUCCGAGGCUAUGAGCUGGCACACCAGCGGCAUGGGCGGCUGCCCUGGGCUCGCCUCUUCCAGCCCAGCAUCCAGCUGGCCCGCCAGGGCUUCCCCGUGGGCAAGGGCUUGGCGGCAGUCCUGGAAAACAAGCGGACCGUCAUCGAGCAGCAGCCUGUCUUGUGUGAGGUGUUCUGCCGGGAUAGAAAGGUGCUUCGGGAGGGGGAGAGACUGACCCUGCCGCGGCUGGCUGACACCUACGAGAUGCUGGCCAUCGAGGGUGCCCAGGCCUUCUACAACGGCAGCCUCAUGGCCCAGAUUGUGAAGGACAUCCAGGCGGCUGGGGGCAUUGUGACAGCUGAGGACCUGAACAACUACUGUGCUGAGCUGAUCGAGCACCCGCUGAACAUCAGCCUGGGAGACGCGGUGCUGUACAUGCCCAGUGCGCGGCUCAGCGGGCCCGUGCUGGCCCUCAUCCUCAACAUCCUCAAAGGGUACAACUUCUCCCGGGAGAGCGUGGAGACCCCCGAGCAGAAGGGCCUGACGUACCACCGCAUCGUAGAGGCUUUCCGGUUUGCCUACGCCAAGAGGACCCUGCUUGGGGACCCCAAGUUUGUGGAUGUGACUGAGGCCAGCUCUGGGGUCUCAGCAGGUGGUCCGCAACAUGACCUCUGAGUUCUUCGCUGCCCAGCUCCGGUCCCAGAUCUCUGACCACACCACUCACCCGAUCUCCUACUACAAGCCCGAGUUCUACACGCCGGAUGACGGGGGCACUGCUCACCUGUCUGUCGUCGCAGAGGACGGCAGUGCUGUGUCCGCCACCAGCACCAUCAACCUCUACUUUGGCUCCAAGGUCUGCUCCCCGGUCAGUGGGAUCCUGUUCAAUAAUGAAUGGACGACUUCAGCUCUCCCAGCAUCACCAAUGAGUUUGGGGCACCCCCCUCACCUGCCAAUUUCAUCCAGCCAGGGAAGCAGCCGCUCUUGUCCAUGUGCCCGACGAUCAUGGUGGGCCAGGACGGCCAGGUCCGGAUGGUGGUGGGAGCUGCUGGGGGCACGCAGAUCACCACAGACACUGCACUGGCCAUCAUCUACAACCUCUGGUUCGGCUAUGACGUGAAGAGGGCCGUGGAGGAGCCCCGGCUGCACAACAAGCUUCUGCCCAACGUCACGACAGUGGAGAGAAACAUUGACCAGGCAGUGACUGCAGCCCUGGAGACCCGGCACCAUCACACCCAGAUCGCGUCCACCUUCAUCGCUGUGGUGCAAGCCAUCGUCCGCACGGCUGGUGGCUGGGCAGCUGCCUCGGACUCCAGGAAAGGCGGGGAACCUGCUGGCUACUGAGUGCUCCAGGCAGACAAGGCUGACAAGCAAUCCAGGGACAAGAUACUCACCAGGAUGAGGAAGAGGACUUUGGGGGACGGGCUUCCCCUGUGAGCAGCAGAGCAGCAUAAUAAAUGAGGCCACUGUGCCAGGCUCCAGGUGGCCUCCCUGGCCUGUC
ensembl:lncRNA novel transcript